UACAUACUCCCUCCGUUCGGAAUUACUCGUCCAAGAAAUGAAUGUAUUUAGAUGUAUUUUAGUUGUAGAUACAUCCAUUUUUGUGAUAAGUAAUUCCAAAUGGAGGGAGUACUAC
rnacentral:pre_miRNA from 1 species